CCUUUUUCGUGCCCCUCUUGUAAUAAUCAAUUAAUUAUCUCACCGAACGUUUACUCCUCUCAUUCUUGCUCGGCGUCUGACAAACCUAGAUUGGAUCAUGUCUGGAACGUAUGAUCAAGGUGGCGGUGGCGGUACUGCGCUUCCACCUUACGGAGCUGGUGGUGGAUAUCAAGGAGGUAGCUAUGGUGGUGAAGGUGGCUAUGGAGGCGGAGGCUAUGGAGGAGGCAACGUUGCUGGCGGCUAUGGCGGUAAUGACGGUGGGGGCUAUGGGGGUAAGGGGAGGGGCGGCGGCUUUGGCGGUAAUGAUGCUGGAGGGUACGGAGGCAGGGGAAGCGGUGGUUAUGGUGGGAGAGGCAGCAGCGGAGGUCAUGGGGGUCGAGGAGGAGCAGGAGGUUAUGGUGGUCGAGGGGGAGGAGGAGGAGGUUUUGGUGGUCGAGGUGGUGGAUAUCAAGGAGGAGACCGUGGUGGACGAGGAGGUGGCCGUGGUGGAGGUGGGAGAGACGGAGAUUGGCGUUGCCCAAACCCUAGCUGUGGAAACCUGAAUUUUGCGAGAAGGACUGAAUGUAACAAAUGCGGUGCACCGUCCCCCGCUGGUGCUGGUGAUCGUGGUGGCAGUGGUGGUGCAGGUGGUUACAAUAGAGGAGGAAGGGACGGGGGAUAUGGCAAUAAUCGAGGGGGUAGAUCUGGUAACUAUGAGGGAGGAAGAGGUAAUGACUAUAAUAGGGGCAGUGGUGAUUACAAUGAUGGAAGGAGGGGAGGCAACAGGGACCAUUCUUUCAGUGGUAGAGAAGAUGGUGGCUAUGGUCAAGUGCCUCCUCCUACAGCCCAAUCUUAUGAAGGUGCGGGUGGAAACUAUGCACCAACUUUCAAUUCAUAUGAUGGGAAUGUAAAUUAUGGCUCAGAAGCAGUACCUCCACCUCCAACCUAUACUGUUGGACCCACUUCAUACCCUCCAUCCUACGGUGGUAACAUGGGUGGUUAUGGUGGUGACAAUUCAGUUGAUGCACGGAGUGGUGGUCGGACUGGGCCACCAGCUGGAUAUGAUGGUAGUUAUAAUGCUGGUAAUCGAGGCGGAUAUGGUGGACCUCCUGCCGAGCUCACAUCUAAGGUGAAGCAGUGUGAUGAGAAUUGCGGGGAGUCCUGUGACAAUUCUAGAAUCUAUAUAUCAAACUUACCACUGGAUGUGACAAUUGAAGAGCUGAGAGAUCUUUUUGGAGGCAUAGGACAAGUUGCUAGGAUAAAGCAGAAGAGGGGCUAUAAAGAUCAGUGGCCCUGGAACAUAAAAAUAUACACGGAUGAGCAAGGCAAUAAUAAGGGUGAUGCUGUUCUUUCCUAUGAAGAUCCAUCUGCUGCACACUCUGCUGGUGGUUUCUACAAUAAUUAUGAUUUGAGGGGUCACAAAAUCAGUGUGGCCAUGGCAGAGAAAUCCGCACCAAAGGCUCCACCUGCAUAUGGGGGCAACAGGGGUGGAUAUGGUGGACGCAGAGAUAACUACAGAGAUGGCGGAGGUUCUGGGCCUGAUAGGCGUGACAACUUUGGCGGGAGCCGAUCGCGUCCAUACUGAGAACAUCAGCAAGGAGUCAUUUUAUGUACUAUGAUUUGUGGUCUGAGGGAUUUAUUAUGUUCAGUUGGCUGGUCUCUUGAAAUGGAAGCAAAGAGGUAGGUUAAUACUAGCAACCUCUUUGCUCCUUAUUGUUCCAUUUGUCACUAGCUGGAGGGUUAUUACUCUUAGGCAGGGGUUAAUUAAAUUAUGUCGAUGUUUGUUUUUUAGAGCCAGGUGGAUAGUCUCCAACUUGCUGCUAUGGUAUGUUGAAUUUUAAGGCUUGUGGAGCAGAUCUUCAAAUGAAGUUACAUCAGUGAAGCAACCCAAAAGUGACGAGGACAGACUUGAGCAGCUUGGAUACGAAAGCCUGGAUAUGAAUCGAGCCUUAGCGACAAACAGAGAUCUAUGAAGAACAUAAAUUGUUGGCAGCAUCAACUUGAAAGGCAGCGCUGUUAUUGAAGAGAGGAUAUGUGUAUGAUGUCCUAGGAUAGAAGGCCCCCCCCCCCCCCAAAAAAAAUUAGCAAAACCGCAUGGUAACAUUCAAAUAGAAUUAUAUUAGUUUUAAGCAAAUGGUCUUGUGCAUUGUAUAGAGAAUGAAAUAGGAGUGUGUCCAACUUAUAUCCAUUCCAAUUGAUUCCAUAUCCUCUUGAUGGGACUCAUCCUGGCUUGAAAACAAUGAGGAUGGGACUUUAUGGGAUGGGAUAGAAAAGGGGUUUGGGACAGGAUGAGAUGUUGUGUCUUGAAUGUUAUAUAUAUUAUUUUUUAUUUUAAAAA